GUGGUAAUGCCGGAUGCUCCAGUUGAUCGCAUGGUCUUCUGGGAAAGCUUUCGCGGUAUGGGAUGGGGUCGCGUCCUAUCAGCUUGACGGCGGGGUAACGGCCCACCGUGGCUUCGACGGGUAGCCGGCCUGAGAGGGCGACCGGCCACAUUGGGACUGAGAUACGGCCCAGACUCCUACGGGAGGCAGCAGUGGGGAAUAUUGCACAAUGGGCGCAAGCCUGAUGCAGCGACGCCGCGUGAGGGAUGGAGGCCUUCGGGUUGUAAACCUCUUUUAUCGGGGAGCAAGCGAGAGUGAGUUUACCCGUUGAAUAAGCACCGGCUAACUACGUGCCAGCAGCCGCGGUAAUACGUAGGGUGCAAGCGUUAUCCGGAAUUAUUGGGCGUAAAGGGCUCGUAGGCGGUUCGUCGCGUCCGGUGUGAAAGUCCAUCGCUUAACGGUGGAUCCGCGCCGGGUACGGGCGGGCUUGAGUGCGGUAGGGGAGACUGGAAUUCCCGGUGUAACGGUGGAAUGUGUAGAUAUCGGAAA
rnacentral:rRNA from 2 species